UCUGGGGGCGGGGUUGAGGUGAUAUAUGCGACGGCGGGUUACCGGACAGCUCAGUCAUGUCUGUCAUCUGCUGCGGAGUAGUCAUAGGUGGAGGCGCCUGAUGGGCGGUGUGAACUGUGCGCAGGAGGAAAGGAGGGACUCGACUUCUGAAAUUGGGAGAAAGGUCCUGUCCGGACCUGAAACGCGUUGUUUUAAGUGCUAAUGAACCUUUUUGGACAUUAACUGUGUCCAAGUUCCUACUCUGUUGGACCAGCGCUAAGAAAAAGCUCGAAAUUUGUUCUGCUUUAAUCAUCUUCCCACCGGACUAGUGAGGAUAAUACCGGAUGAGCUGAGGCUGCAGAUCCCUGACCAUAUACUAGAUGUCUUCUUAGGUUUUGUGCUCUAAGCACAACCCUACUUGGCUACUAUAGGCUUUGCAGUAUAUUAAAUUCAGCAUAAAAAAAAUCUGAGGGAAAGGAGAAAAGUAGGGAGAUAUUGUAAAAUUCAUUAUUAUGAACUGUGACAGAAUUAUAGCUCCAUAUCAGAUAAAAAUGACAGUGGUAACUUCUAAUAAUCUAGGCGCAGAGCUGACUUAUACAAGGAGAAAAAAACAGAUGACGGCAAGAA